GUAGGUGAACCUGCGGAAGGAUCAUUACAAAUCCCCAUCCCUUUAACCACGUUGAAAUGUUCCAGUGGGAGCGGGCGCCACGUGCCGGGCAACCGGGUACAGGCGCGCCCGCUCUCCCUGACCAACAAUACUAAUCGUGUUCCAUCCAGUUGCUUCGCAAGGGUGGUGGUGCGGUGUGAUGGCGCGUGGUGGUGGCGGAUCGCGUCCCCUGCCCCCACGUCCCUCCCUAGCCGCGCCCCCUCCCAACAAC
rnacentral:misc_RNA from 1 species